UACGUAGGGGGCAAGCGUUGUCCGGAUUUAUUGGGCGUAAAGAGCGUGUAGGCGGUUUGGUAUGUCCGUUGUGAAAACUCGAGGCUCAACCUCGAGACGCCGAUGGAAACCAUCAGACUAGAGUCCGGAAGAGGAGAGUGGAAUUCCUGGUGUAGCGGUGAAAUGCGCAGAUAUCGGGAAGAACACCCGUGGCGAAGGCGGCACUCUGGGACGGUACUGACGCUGAGACGCGAAAGCGUGGGGAGCGAACAGG
rnacentral:rRNA from 1 species